CUCAUCUAGUGUGGCCGUGGUGCUUCCUCUCAUUCAACUGUUUGUACAGGAAAUACCUACAAAGCAUACACCACCCUUGGAAGGAUAAGGCUGUUAACAAUGAUCACUAUCAGCUCUUUUGAGGAUCAGAAGAUGGCAGUGAUGAAACAAUUAUUCCAGAUCCAGACCUGAAUAUUAACAGGAAAACAACAAACUCAUCUAUCAGGAAAGAGGCAAUAUCUUCCAAAUGGCAUGUGACCCAGCUAGCUUUUAAAGUCGUGAACAAGGCUCAAGGCUCAUCAUAGAAGAAAAGUGAAAGACUGCAAAAGCCAAAGGUUGCUGAGGACUUAUGCAAGAUGGUGCUUGCCAGAUAUAACAGAGCCAUUACACAAAGGAACUCAUGGUGACUGUGGCUCAAUGCACAAUAUCUGCACAAGAGCAAGCCACCCAGAAUCCCAACAUGAAUGGAGGAGAAGCCCAUGAAGUCCCACUCAUAGCUAAGGAGUUAUAUGGCUACUAAAGGGUGAUAGUCUUUCUUCCUUCCUUCCUUUCUUCCUUCCUUUCUUCCUUCCUUUCUUCCUUCCUUUCUUCCUUCCUUUCUUCCUUCCUUUCUUCCUUCCUUUCUCCCUUCCUUCCUUCCUUCCUUUCUUUCUUCCUUCCUUCCUUCCUUCCUUCCUUCCUUCCUUGUUUGCUUGCUUCUCUUCUUGCUUGUUUUUGUUUUCAGUACUAAAUGGACACUGUACUUAAAAAAAAUUAAAGUACAUGAAUUUGGAAGAUAGAAUUGGUGAGGGUCAUCAAAAGAAUUGAAAAGGAGUGAGUGUUGGAUCUUAGCAAAACCCAUUGUAAGUUUAGUAUGUAUGAAGUUCUGAAACAAAAUUAUUGUGCUUAUUUAAUUAUUUAUCUAUUUGAAUAUAUGUGCACACACAUGCAUGACAGAAAACAACUUGAGAGAAUUCAUUCUCUCCUUUCAGAUGUGGGUCCUGGGGAUUGAAUUCAGAUCAUCAGCCUUGGCAACAACUACCUUUAUAUGAUGAGCCAUUUCACCAACCAGAAAAGAUAUUUUUACUGUUUCCAUGAUGCGAUGAGUAACCAUUUGAGCUGGUGGAUACUACAUCACUUGUCUUACACAUUUCACAGGGCAAGUAAUCAUUGGGCCUUCUCUCCUCUCAAGCUAUAAGUCAUCUCCCAUGAGCUCUGCCUCCCUAGUUAUAUUAUUUAUUUUUAUGUGGAUGGGUAUUUUGCCUGCACAUUUGACUGUGCACAAAAUGUUCACAGGGCCUGUAGAUGCCAAAGGAGGGUGUUUGAUCCCAGUGACUGGCAUCGUAGACAGUUGUAAACUAUGAUGUGGUUGUUGGAACUUAAACCAGGCCCUCUGGAAAGACAUCCAGUAUUCUUAACCACUAAACCAUCUCUCCUGCUCUAUAUCCUAUGUUUGGUCAUGCUAUUAGAUGUUUUAUUCCAAGUUGCCACCAUCUGACAUGGUGUAAGUAUGCGAAUCAUAUACUACUCUUCUAGCCAUCCAAUCUUGGUUUGGUUCAUUUUUGUCCUCCCCAGUCAACAUGGUGUGUUUUAAUUAACCUCUCCAAGAGGCCUUGCUUCUCUCAAACCCAUAGAACAAUCUGUCACUAUGUCACUUGGGGUUUCUAUGACCACCUGUGUUUCCAGAAUUUUGGUGAGUUAACUAACACAUUAAAGGAACAUGCACAAUUGAUAACAGCAGGCUUUACUCAAAAGAGAAUGAAACCACAGUAGAGAGACAUGAUACAAGGAAGCAGAGGGCUGAAGCAAGAUGACUCUUGAACUCCUUUCUGGUUUUUUCUUGUAAGUCUAGGUAUGGAGAAGAGCUGAUUCCCUAGAUAGGGUAACUGGGGAGAUACUAACCAUGUUUGAUAAAUGAGCUGCUAUAUAACUUCAGACUGGUUGUGCAUGUGUGGGCCAUAUAUCUCAUAAUUUCUUAAAAUUUUUUGUUGCAUAUAAGUGUUUUCUUGAAUGUAAAUAUGUGCACCAUGUACAUGACUGCUGCUACUAGAGGCCAGAAGAGAGCAUCAGAAACCAUGUUGUUGGGAACUGAACUCAGGUUCUCUAGAAAAGCAGUAAGUGUUUUUACUCGAUAAGUCAUCUCGCAAGCCUCCCCAAUUAUAAGCAUCUAUUUCCCACAACAUGCAUAAUAUGAGAUGCUCAAUAACGGUUUUUCCCUUAUAGAUCACCUCAAGGACAGAUUAGCCAUCACUACUCUUGGGGUCUAAGCAGGUCUUGUUUAAUCGUUCCUUCACAAAGUGAUUUAUCACAAAUUGACAACAGAAGGGGAUAUGCUGGGUGUUUCCCUACUGAGAAAAGACAAAUAUGUUUUCCAAGCAGUGGUACUCUGAGUCCCUGGGCUGACCUGGCUGUAUCCUAGCAUGCCUUGGCUGUAUCCUAGCUCCCUUAUUUUCAUUUUAUUUUUCAGUCAUCACUCUCUUGGGAACCAUGUUAUUAAUUUGUUUGUGUCUUCAUUGUCUAUCUCCUGUAUCAGAAAAAAAGUUAAGAUAUGUUGGCUAGUUUUAUGUCAACUUGACACAUAUAGUCAUAUGAAAGGAGGGAGCUGCAAGUGAGAAAAUGUCUCCAUCAGAUUCAGCUGUAGGGAAUUUUCUUAAUUAGUGAUUGAUAGAGAACCAAGCCCAUUGUGGGCAGGGCCACCCCUUGUCAGGUGGUUCUGGGUCCUAUAAGAAAGCAGCCUGAGCAAACCAUUGGAAGUAAGCCAAUAAUAUGCACUCCUCUAUGGCCUCUGCAUCAGCUCCUGCCUCCAGGUUCCUGCCUGCUUAAGUUCCUGCCCUUGGUGCUUUUGUUGAUAAACUGUUAUGUAGAACUAUGAGCAAAAUGAGCCCUUUCCACCCCAAGUUGCUUGUGGUCAUGGUGUUUUAUCACAGCAAUAGUAACAGUAAAUAAGACAGAAGGUAGACUUUAUUCUUUUAAGUCUAGUCCUAAUAUUAGCUGUAAAGUAAAGGAUAACUGUGCUACAAUCCACAGACCCAGAGAGACUAGGUAACAAGGAGGAAAUAAGGGGAUGUGUGAAUGUAUCACCCUGGAAAAGGGAAAUAGAAGAGAUCUCAUGGGUGGACUGGGGGUGGGUAAGAAUGGGAACACAAAGGAAAGUUUGCAGGGUAGAUGGAGGGGUAGAGUACUAAAAGGGAUGACUGGAAAGGAAGGGGUGAAUUUCAGGUAGUUAGAAACCUGAUGCUAGGGAAACUUCCAGGAAUCUACAAGGAUGACCCCAGCUAAGUCCUAGCAACAGUGGAUAUGUAGCCAGAACUGGCCAUCUCCUAUGAUCAGGCAAGACUUCCAGUGGAGGGAUUGAGACACCAACCAGCCACACAAAUUUUGAUCUACAGUCUGUCCUGCCUAUGGAAUGUGCUGGGGUAAGGGAGGCACAGGGCCAACCAAUGACUGGUCCAGUUUGAGACUCAUACCACAAGAAUGAGCCCACCCUUGACACUGUCUAGAGUGCUAGGACCCAGAGACUGGAUUACCCAGAGAACUAGGAUAGAACCAACCACAACUGGAUGAAAAAAGUCAAUGAAAUGAUACCUAUUGAUAUUCUGCUACACUCAUAGAUUAGUGACUACCCCAGUUGUCAUCAGUUUUAUCAGUAACUGAUAAAAACAGAGGCAGAUACCCACAGUCAGACAUUAGGCCAAGCUCAUGGAAUCCUGCUGAAGAGAGGGAGGAGGGAUUGUAGGAGCCAGAGGGUUAAAGGACAUAACAAGAAAACCCACAGAACCAACUAACGUGGGUGUAGGACAUUUACCCACCAACUCUACAGCUCCUCAGAGUUUUCUUUAGUGCAAGCAGCAGGAAAUAUUUAGAUAGAAGGAUUUAGAUUGUGGAGAUAAACAGAUAGAAAAUACAGGAUAGCCUCGAGAGGGCCUGGAACCUAUUCCAAUGGGCUCUGACUGUCUCUUCCCCAGGGUAUUUAUAGAAAUGCCAAGGGGUGGAGCAAAAGACCUCUCCCCAGCACAGCCAAGUGCAGACCAUCUCAGACACCUGCACUCAGCCCCAUGGUCCUAAUCAUCCUCUCUAUGGGGACCUGCUGGGUAAAGCCAUGAGGAAUCUGAAAACGUGCUUCCAUACCUGGGCUCAUAGGAGCUCACAGAAUAUGAACCAACAACCAGGGAGCCUACAUGGGACCAACUUAGGCCUUCUAUAUAUAUGUGAGGAUUGUGUAGCUUGGUCUACCUGUAGGACUUCUAACAGUGAGAGCAGGGGCUGUCCCUAAUGCUUUGGCUGGCUUUUGGGAACCUAUUCCUCAUACUGGGUUGCCUUGCCCAGCCUUAAUACAAGGGGAUGAGCUUUGUCUUAUCCCAACCUGAUAUGCCUUGCUUUGUUGAUACUGAUGGGAGGCCUGUCUAUUUCUGAGUAGAAACAGAGAAGGAGUGGAAGGGAGGGAGAGCAUAAGGGAAGUUCAAGGAGGGAACAGGAGGAGAAGAGAAAGGGGAAACUGCAGUUGAGAUGUAAAAUAAAAAAAAUAAAUUUAAUUAAAAAAAAGUCUAGCCCUAGAGUAUAUGAUAAUACUCUCACAUAGUGAGAACAUAGUAAAUAUUUAAGGAAUGAAUAGAUGGGCAUAAGCAGUCUUAUAUAGUGGCAAUACUGAGGAUUUAAAUAUUUUACUAUGUUCCAUACAUGUUUUAUAAUAUAUUUGGUAUUUAAUAUGUGAAUUUUAGAAAUUAUAACAUUAAUUACAAUUAAGAUAAAUACAA